AACGAACGCUGGCGGCGCGCCUAAUACAUGCAAGUCGAACGAGAAGGUGUAGCAAUACACUUGUACAGUGGCGAACGGGUGAGGAAUGCAUGGGUAACCUACCCUCGAGUGGGGAAUAACCAGCCGAAAGGUUGGCUAAUACCGCGUACGCUUCCGGGUCUCCGGAUCCGGAAGGAAAGUCACACCGUGGGUGUGACGCUCAAGGAUGGGCUCAUGUCCUAUCAGCUUGUUGGGAGGUAACGGCUCACCCAGGCAACGACGGGUAGCUGGUCUGAGAGGACGAUCAGCCACACUGGCACUGCGACACGGGCCAGACUCCUACGGGAGGCAGCAGUAAGGAAUAUUGCGCAAUGGGCGAAAGCCUGACGCAGCGACGCCGCGUGGGGGAGUGAAGGUCUUCGGAUU
rnacentral:rRNA from 1 species